rnacentral:rRNA from 1 species
UACGGGGGGGGUAAGCGUUGUUCGGAAUUACUGGGCGUAAAGGGCUCGUAGGCGGCCAACUAAGUCAUACGUGAAAUCCCUCAGCUUAACUGGGGAACUGCGUGUGAUACUGGAUGGCUUGGAUUUGGGAGAGGGAUGCGAAAUUCCAGGUGUAGCGGUGAAAUGCGUAGAUAUCUGGAGGAACACCGGUGGCGAAGGCGGCAUCCUGGACCAAUAUUGACGCUGAGGAGCGAAAGCUAGGGGAGCAAACGGG